rnacentral:rRNA from 1 species
GAUGAACGCUAGCGGCAGGCUUAAUACAUGCAAGUCGAGGGGCAGCAUGACUGUAGCAAUACAGUUGAUGGCGACCGGCAAACGGGUGCGGAACACGUACAGAACCUUCCUUCGAGCGGGGAAUAGCCCAGAGAAAUUUGGAUUAAUACCCCAUAGUAUUACGGAGUGGCAUCACUUUGUAAUUAAAGAUUUAUCACUUGAAGAUGGCUGUUCGGCUGAUUAGGUAGUUGGCGGGGUAACGGCCCACCAAGCCUGCGAUCAGUAACUGGUGUGAGAGCACGACCAGUCACACGGGCACUGAGACACGGGCCCGACUCCUACGGGAGGCAGCAGUAAGGAAUAUUGGUCAAUGGACGAAAGUCUGAACCAGCCAUGCCGCGUGAAGGAUGAAGGUCCUCUGGAUUGUAAACUUCUUUUAUAUGGGACGAAAAAAGGCUUUUCUAAGUCGUCUGACGGUACCAUAUGAAUAAGCACCGGCUAACUCCGUGCCAGCAGCCGCCGUAAGAC